rnacentral:rRNA from 1 species
GAACGCAGUAGCAAUACUGAGUGGCAAACGGGUGAGUAUAAUGUGGGAAUCUGCCUUUUGGUUUGGAAUAACACGGGGAAACUUGUGCUAAUACCGAAUAAGCCCUUACGGGGAAAGUUUUAACGCCGAAAGAUGAGCCCGCACUUGAUUAGCUAGUUGGUAAGGUAAAAGCUUACCAAGGCAACGAUCAAUAGCUGUUCUUAGAGGAAGACCAGCCACAUUGGGACUGAGACACGGCCCAGACUCCUACGGGAGGCAGCAGUGGGGAAUCUUGCACAAUGGGGGAAACCCUGAUGCAGCGAUGCCGCGUGAGUGAAGAAGGCCUUUGGGUUGUAAAACUCUUUCGUCGGGGAAGAAGAUGACUGUACCCGAAUAAGAAGGUCCGGCUAACUUCGUGCCAGCAGCCGCGGUAAUACGAAGGGACCUAGCGUAGUUCGGAAUUACUGGGCUUAAAGAGCUCGUAGGUGGUUAAAAAAGUUGAUGGUGAAAUCCCAAGGCUCAACCUUGGAACUGCCAUCAAAACUUUUUAGCUAGAGUGUGAUAGAGGUAAGUGGAAUUUCUAGUGUAGAGGUGAAAUUCGUAGAUAUUAGAAAGAACACCAAAUGCGAAGGCAACUUACUGGGUCACUACUGACACUGAGGAGCGAAAGCAUGGGUAGCGAAGAGGAUUAG